rnacentral:rRNA from 1 species
UACGUAGGGUGCAAGCGUUGUCCGGAAUUAUUGGGCGUAAAGAGCUCGUAGGCGGUCUGUCGCGUCGGCUGUGAAAUCCCGAGGCUCAACCUCGGGUCUGCAGUCGAUACGGGCAAACUGGAGUGUUGCAGGGGAGACUGGAAUUCCUGGUGUAGCGGUGAAAAUGCGCAGAUAUCAGGAGGAACACCGGUGGCGAAGGCGGGUCUCUGGGCCGAUACUGACGCUGAGGAGCGAAAGCGUGGGGGAGCGAACAGG